rnacentral:tRNA from 1 species
GCCUGGGUAGCUCAGUGGGUUGGGCAUCGGGCUCUUGAUUUCGGCUGAGGUCAUGAUUCCCUGGUUCGUGGGUUCAAGCCCUACAUCAGGCU